rnacentral:lncRNA from 1 species
AUGGCUCAUGUUCUGAAGAAGCCCUAUGGCCCUAUUUGCAAGCUUAUCCUUAAAGGUGCAGGACACCUCCAGACCAGACGUCUGAAAAGAUUUCAGCGCCCAGGCAAAUCCACGAGCAGCACAGAGGCCGUGGAGAUGGAGAACACGACAACCCUCGGAGCGCAGGGCUGUAGCAACCCCGGCUACCAGACCAGUGAGAAAAAAAGAUGA